UGGGGAAUAUUGCACAAUGGGCGAAAGCCUGAUGCAGCAACGCCGCGUGAGGGACGACGGCCUUCGGGUUGUAAACCUCUUUUAGCAAGGAAGAAGCGAAAGUGACGGUACUUGCAGAAAAAGCGCCGGCUAACUACGUGCCAGCAGCCGCGGUAAUACGUAGGGCGCAAGCGUUAUCCGGAAUUAUUGGGCGUAAAGAGCUCGUAGGCGGUUUGUCGCGUCUGCUGUGAAAACCCGAGGCUCAACCUCGGGCCUGCAGUGGGUACGGGCAGACUAGAGUGCGGUAGGGGAGAUUGGAACUCCUGGUGUAGCGGUGGAAUGCGCAGAUAUCAGGAAGAACACCGAUGGCGAAGGCAGAUCUCUGGGCCGUAACUGACGCUGAGGAGCGAAAGGGUGGGGAGCAAAACAGGCUUAGAUACCCUGGUAGUCCACCCCGUAAACGUUGGGAACUAGUUGUGGGUCCAUUCCACGGAUUCCGUGACGCAGCUAACGCAUUAAGUUCCCCGCCUGGGGAGUACGGCCGCAAGGCUAAAACUCAAAGGAAUUGAC
rnacentral:rRNA from 1 species